rnacentral:lncRNA from 1 species
GCACCUGUCUUUAUUAGAAGAUAAGAAUAAAUUUAUUGGGUUCAUUGGCAACUUUUCCCCACCAGAACAAACCAAUCUACAGAAGAAACCCCAGAGACGAGGAGGAAGUCACAAGGGGAGCUAUUGAGUGGUACAGUGUCUACAGCUGCAGGGGUUCUGCCAGGAAAGCAGAGGCCGGCUUCACCCCCAGCACUGUCCUGGGGUCUUCCGCCCCCUCCCACAAAUGAAAAGAACAGCGCAACGCCUGUAGGAGUUGACCCCGAAGACAGCAGCGGGAAAAUCACAGAUGUCCCCAGCCAGGUAUUUAUACCAGGAAAUAGCCAUGCCAAAUUUUAGUGUUCCUCUUUCUUUUCCUUGUGCCUGGUUCAGUGGUCUCCUCCCAUGCCUUUUCCUAAUAGAAGCAGCACGGUCCAAUGGACA